rnacentral:misc_RNA from 1 species
UUUUUUUUUUUUUUUUUUCCUUGAUUUUUUAACAUCUUUAUUGGUCUUGGAUUAGUUAACCCUCUAAAUUCCAGAGGGUAAAGUUCAACUUUACCAAUUUAUUUUUUAACCAAAAUAAUUUAAACUUUGCCCUUUUAAUUGUUCGUGUUAUUUGCCAUAGAAUCGAUACUUUUGUAGAGCUACUAAGAAAAUUGUAUUUUCUGCGCAGUUGAUACAAAAUUCUCCUUUGUUUUAGGGUUACCGGCAGUUUAUUUUCGUUGGUUGGAAUCUGAUGGAUAACAAUAACUGGAGGCCUAAUGCCCAAGGUGGCGACCCUGGAAUUGACACCGGUGAUUGGAGAGC